GAUGAACGCUGGCGGCGUGCCUAAUACAUGCAAGUCGAGCGAACGGACGAGAAGCUUGCUUCUCUGAUGUUAGCGGCGGACGGGUGAGUAACACGUGGAUAACCUACCUAUAAGACUGGGAUAACUUCGGGAAACCGUAGCUAAUACCGGAUAAUAUUUUGAACCGCAUGGUUCAAAAGUGAAAGACGGUCUUGCUGUCACUUAUAGAUGGAUCCGCGCUGCAUUAGCUAGUUGGUAAGGUAACGGCUUACCAAGGCAACGAUGCAUAGCCGACCUGAGAGGGUGAUCGGCCACACUGGAACUGAGACACGGUCCAGACUCCUACGGGAGGCAGCAGUAGGGAAUCUUCCGCAAUGGGCGAAAGCCUGACGGAGCAACGCCGCGUGAGUGAUGAAGGUCUUCGGAUCGUAAAACUCUGUUAUUAGGGAAGAACAUAUGUGUAAGUAACUGUGCACAUCUUGACGGGACCUAAUCAGAAGGCCACGGCUAACUACG
rnacentral:rRNA from 1 species